GGAUCCUACAUGUGUAACAGUUAAACAAAACAAGUAAUUUUUGGUUCCCCAUCAGGGAGGAUGUUCUAUUUGGGGAGGGAUGUGCUAAGGGAUAAUUCAAACAUUGUCAGCAAAUAUUUCUCAAGAGGUCCCAGUGCAAGGCUCAGGGCUGCCCCAGACACAGCAGCAGGAAAGAUCAGGACUGUUCUUGCCACUGGGCACCUACUCUGUCAGAGGGGAACCAUGUGAGUCCCAGCAGAGAUAGCCUAUACUUCCUGCUGUCAGAGCUGGGCAGGUCUGGGGAAGGGUCUUCUGAGAGCCCAGGGAAGGGGCUACAGUGUUGGUCAUUGUGCUGAACUAGUAUCUGGGUUGUCAGAAGUGGCAAAAAAGUGUCUGUGAGCUUAACAGGAGACCAAUAAGAGGGUGACCAGAAAUAAUGUUCUUUGCUUCUUUCUGAUAAAAGAGACAAAAAGACAAGGAGUGAUAGCUUCUGAUUACGGUUCAGAGGACUUCUUAGUGUUGGCAUAGGAGACACCUUUGUAAUCUGGGACUCUGCUCUGUGGGGUCUUGGGAGUGAAUCUGUGACGCCACUCACCCACAGCCUCUCCCGUGGCCAGGGGAGGGGCCUGUCCUGUGUCCCAGUGUGUAGGGCCGAUGUGUGUACAGGCUAAAGUUCUGCUAGGAAAAGGAGUUCCAGGUGUGGCUGAGGGAGAUAGACCCCUCCUAUUGAGCACAACUUUACAAAUAUGAUUGCACAACUCUGUGCAAUAACCUCCUGAGAGAGACAUGAUGCCAUUUAUAGCAACAAGGCUCAUACAUGUCAGGAUCUGAUAGGUUGACUGGAUGAUGCAGGCUUUUUCCUGAGGAAAAGGAUCUCUGGAAAGUAGCAAAGGCCAAGAAAGUGGUGAGAGUUCCUGGGAUAAAGCUGAGCUAGAAAUGCCCAGGAGGUUAGGGUGCAUCUUGAAGUUUCUACUCAGGACUGGCCCAUGCUCUAAGGACCUUGCUGAGAUCUUUAUGCCCUGGGAUGGGAGAGGUUACAGGGGGCUGCACAGCCUCACCUCCUUCAUGUCCUCAUAGAAAAGGUAGAGGAUGCGGUGCUGAUCCUUCUCGGCCCACCAGCCCUUCACAUGGUCAUACCAGGAGCCCCACAGCACUGAGGGGGAGAGAGAGAGAUGGCGAUCAGGGCCAGAUCAAAACUUGCCACAUGAGCACGGCUGGCUCAAAUAAAGAGAACAGUUAGUAAAGGCAAAGAUUAGAGAAGAACUCUUGCUUGAGAAGACAGGUUUUUGUUGUUGUUGUUAUUGUUGUUGUUUUUAAAGUAGGAAGUUGAUACAAAGAUUCUGGAUUCUUCAAUUUGUAUCCCACUCUGAACCUACUUCUCCAUGAGGGACUGUCUCAUGUCCUUAGGCUGGGAAUCCCUAUCUUCCUCCCACAUCACACAGUGCAUAGAUCAUUGUCAUGCAGUAGAUGUUGUUUCUUAGCAGAGUGAUUUGGAAGAGACUCUCACUUUGAAAACCUGAAAUGGCCAGGUCUGGGGUGGCCAUGGGAGGGACAGGUGCUCCUGGCACUGACCCCACCUUCCUCCUUGCCCACCUUGCCCAUGGCUGCCAGCUGCCUGCAGACUGUCACUGCCCUUACAUGUGGCUGGACUUGGUGGCCAGGGGGGAGGAGGAGUGUAGGGAUGGGGUGUGAACUCCGGAAUUUUCCGUGUGCUCACUGUGGUUGAUGUGACUCCCACUAGAGGCCUUGCCUCUUGUUGAGGUUGAAGGGACCUCUCCUAUCUCCAGGGUCUGGGUCUCCUCCCAAAACCUCUACCAGCCGUGGUUGUUUCCCCUAAACUCUUCCACUGAGUCUUCCCAGUGACCUGGAGUGUGUCAUCCUCAGGAACAUGGGACCUCAGUGGACCCAGUCGUUGAAUGGAUGCCUUCUCUCCUGAUGUAGGAGAUGAUGAGAAAUAGGAGCCUAGUUUUCUUUCACUUGCCUUUUCCAGCUUUGAAGGCCUCGAUGUACUCCUCCCAUGUGCCAGGGUCAGGCACCAUCUUGUUCAUCCUGGAGAAAUGGUAGUAGGACACCAGGCAGUCCUUGGCGUUUCUCGCCACAUAGAUGAUCUGGAGUUGGCCAACAAAGACAGAAAACAAGACAGAGACAUCAUUAGUCAGGGCAGAGGUGCCUGAUUUCAGGAAACCUUCUGUGGAAUUUGGACCAGAUAUGCAGGUGCUUUCAGCCCCAGAGGCCACAUUUUCCAGUUGCCAGAAAUGUUCUGAUUUUUAGCUGUGAUCUUAGCAUUGUCACUAUUUUCUGUCUUGAAAGUUACCUGGUAAAUGUGGCUCUCACCUGUGGCCACUAUGCUUGCCUACCAAAGCACCAACUACUGGGGCCUUAAAAGCAACAGAGAUCUGCUUUGUGCAGUUAAUUCCAGAGGCCAGAGAGUACAAGACCAAGGUGUCGGCAGGUUUGGCACAUGGCAAGGGCUGCUGCCUCAUAGAUGGCCAUGUUCAUGUGUCCUGGUCCCAUCCAGGAGGGCCCCACCCUGUGUACUGUCACCUCCUAAAGAUCCUACCUACUGUGCCGUUAGGAUGAAUCUGGGGACACUGCAUUCAGACCACAAGAUAUGGUGGUUUUCAGCCUAUGAAACGAAGGUCUCCCAGUUCUGCUAAGUGAGGCAUCUGUUAGCAAAGAGUUAUGGGCUGGGAGGAGCCCAGGCAGCAGUGAGUCUGCCUGUGUCAUUCCAAGAGUUGACUUCAGCCUUUGGGGGGGGGCAUUGCUCCUACUCUUCAUUGGCGGAUGAGAUCAAGGCCCUGGGGCAGUGCUGAGUCCUUGUGUGGAUGUUAGUGGUAGGGUCUUCUCCCAUAGAGGCCUAGGCUGGGCUGGUGAAUGAUAAUGGACCUUGGCUUCAUGCCUGCUGCCCCUUCUCCUUAGGAUUCCAGCUGUUCAGGGUUCUUGUUUUCUGCCUGGGUGUGGUUGAAUGUUAUGCUGUCCCCAGGGCCCUGUGUAAGGUGUGGUCCCCAGGGCUGGCUGUUGGGGACCCUGUGGAGCUGUAGGAGGCAAGUCCUAGAGGGAGGUCUCUGAGUUACCUGGAAGGGGGCCUCAGAGGGGAUGAUGUGACCUGGUUCUUUCGCAUCCCUCUCUGCCAUAAAAGGCCCAGUGAAAGUCCCAUCUUGGAGUUGACCUCAGAACCCUGAGGUAACAUGAACCUCCCUUACUUCAUAAGGCACCUGAGUCAGGGCUUUUGCUGCAGUAACACAACAGAUUGACAUGGUUUUCUCCAGCUUCUCACAUGCCAGCCUGUCACCCAGGGUCUUUCUUCUUGGUGAGUGGCCCCACUCCUGCCUCCCCAGUUGCAUCCCCACUACCCUUCACUCAGCUCUGUGAGACUCUGUUUCUCUACCCUUCUCCUUGCAGCUGGAUUUCUGUACCAUGUUUAUAAAAACACUUAGGCGCCCAAGAAAUAUGUGGCAACAGCAGAAUUUUCUUACUGUAUAAGUGUGUUAUGCAUAAUGUUUCCUAAUUCUUAUGUUGGUUAUUGCUUUCAAGGCCUCUGUCACUGGAAAUGGAAAAUCUUGGGAUAGACCAGAAACAUACCCAAACAAAUUGUGGUGUGAGGUCCACCAUCAGAAGUGAAUCUGAACACAUGAAGUUCAGAGAAGAGCUUUGGCAGGACGAAGAAGAAGGUGGUGAGGAGUGAGAAAACUGCCAGGAAGACGGGUACAGCUGGUUGCAGCCCCUGACCCCAGGGCUGCCCUUGCUGCUCUGGCAGCGACACAGUGCAUGGCUGAUCUUUCUGUUAGUGCUGAGUGGCUUUGAAUCUGUGGCAGCCACCAGAGAGGGAGGCGCCUUUUCUUCUGGAGGGGCAGUGUGCAUCCUGCCUGCCUGCCUACCUUGCUGCAGACCCAACUGGCUGGGAUCUGGGAAGAUGGAGACUGGACUGGGCAGGUUCUGGCCCUGUCUAGCACAGGAUGUCAGCCCACAGCAUCCCUGGGGAUCCCAGGCCCCUGGGCCAGCCAGGUCUGUGGCACAGGACUUGCCCUGUGAACCAGUAUGACACGUUCCCUGAAGACGCCAGGUCCAGGCCAUCUGUGCAGGGGAUUCCAACAUGCCCAGCAGACCAGGGACAUGUCUCACUUCCUAAUCCAGCUGUUUUCUGUGUCCUCAUGAACUUCCACCUGGACCUCAAUGCCUGUUAGGGGCCUGAAGCCAACACAGCUGCUGGGAUCCCAUGCGUGGCCAUGGUGGAGUUCCAGGGCCCUCUCCCUCUCCCUCACUGUCAGCAACCCCUGCUCCCGGUUUCUGAUCUUGCUGGAGUCCAGUAGCUGAGGUCACAGAAUAGUUCUCAGCACACUAUGCCAGGCCACAGGGCACUGUCUCUGUGUCUAUGUCCCAUGAUAACACUGACUUGUCAAUGGGCUGGGGCACUCUGAGAUCCAGGGACUUCAGCUUCUGCUAUGGCCUGUCAUAGCAAUGGGGUGGGGUCACCAGGGUGCCCAGGUCCUCUGGGUGCACUGCCAUACCCUGACCUAGGGCUAGGAUCUCCCUGUGUAUGGGACUCCUGCACAGUUGUGCUUCCAUCCUCUGGGUAAGGGCUUGUGGGACCUGUGCGAAUCCAGGCUGUCAGAUGGGGUCUGCAGUUGGCCCAAGUGAGGAGGAAGCCUACGAGGCAAGAGGAAGGGACAGGUAUGGGGGUCAACCCCGCCCUGCAGGCCCAGCCCCCUCUGUGCCUGCUCUAGGCCUGCCUGCGCUGCCUGGCAGACCUUAGCCCUGUGAUUGGCAGCGGAAGGUGGCUCAGGGUGACCUUGUGAUCAGAUGGCUCUUGGCAGGAGGUUUCCUGUCCCAAGGUGGAUGUGAUUCUGGGCAGGUGGCCUGCAGUAGCUGAUGGUGGGUUUUCAGUUUACCCUGAAGCAAAGACUGCUAUGUAACGAGGCCACCAUGUCACCCACACAGAAGCCUUGGAGAAUUGGAGCCUAAAGUCAGAGAAAUAGUUUUCCCCCUUCUUUGAAAAACAUAUCAGAAAUAGCCAUCCCCCUUUCCUGUUUGCAGACCCUGUGGUCUUCUGGUCCCAUCUCAGCAAGGAACCCUUGGCUAGUACUCACUGGAUUGCAGGCACGGUGUCCAAGGCCUGUCCUUUGCUUUCUGCUCCUGCCCAAGGUGCCUUGCUGUCUAUAAACUCCUCAGGACAGUGGCUGUUCCAGGGGCUCUCUGUGUGCUACUGUGGAGGAAGCCUGCUGGACUGGUCUCUGUUAAUCCCAUCCCUCCCUGCCCAGAUAUAGGGCGAUGAAGGAGCACAGAUCAGGCUGCAAACCACUCUGCAGGUCACUUGAGGUCAAGGAAGGAGGAGUGGCGAAGGCCCUGAACACCAGUGACCUUGUGGGUACAGCGGACUCUGGUUCCAAACUGUCUAUCUUGUGGCUGCCCGAAGACUCCUGAGUUGGAAAUGACAAGGAAUAGUGUGACCCUCGCACCAGCUACAUCCCUGUACACCCUGUACCUGCAGUGUAGGUCAAAGAUUAGGGAUGGAGAGCCCUCAAAAUCCUUCCCUACACCUCCAACCAACAGGAGCUGGGUAAAAGAUAAACUCAUUUUGGUUUAUGCUAUGUCACAUUCUGGAAGAACAAUAGCCGAAGCUUAGAAAUGCUUUGGAGCCCUUUCUUGUUUAAGGUUCCAUUUUCCACUGAUUGAUGUUGCAAACUGAGCAUUUGAUUUUGUUUUGCUUGAUUUAAUUCUCUGAGGACCUCACAUAAUUCUACUGUGAUAACUUGUUCUUGUGGAUACACUGCAUGGAUCUCUUACAAUUUGCUAAGAUUUAAAGCUUUCAUUUGAUAAAGCGGAAGCUACCUUCACCCUAAUGUUUUUUUGUAUGUGAUUUUAUUCUACUUGCAGUUUAAAUUUCACUAAAAAUUUAAAAAUUAUACUUGUGUGGCUUCACAUGCAGGUUGUGUUUGUGGCAGUUGUGGCUCUCCAAAGUUCAUAAGCAACAAACCCACAAUGCUCAUUAAAGGCUGAUACAUAUGGGUCCCAUUCUUGAGUGCAUUAUUGUCAUUCUAUAACUUGAAUCUGUAUCACUGUUCUGCCAGAUAGUCAGUGUCCUUCCCCGGAUUUCAGGUAAGAAAUCAAAGGAUCCACCUGGCCUCAGACAGCUGAUCCCAAUUUGAGCUUCACAGCUGGUGUCCACGGCCUCUCCACCACGAUCUGCUUCUCUGCAGAGGGAAGGGAGCUUUCACCUGCGCAGGAUGUUUAGGACUUCCAACUAGAGCAGCCAUUGGAAGGCACAGUGCACUCUGAGGGGAAAUGACCAAAGGAGGCCAGACUACCACUCACUUCUGGACCAUAGCAUUUGGAAAUGAUACAAUGAACUAAGCUUCUUUGUGCCACCAUAAUUUUCCUGGCUUGGAGACAGCUGACCAUGGACUGAAUCCUCUGAAACCAUGAGUGAAAUAAACCCCAUCUCCUUUAAGUUGUGAGUGACAGGUAAUUUGUCCCAAGAAUGGGAAAGGUGACUAAUACAGAAUCUGUUACCCUGUUUUUACAUUUUCUUUGACUCCUCCUGUUGAUUUUUGUGUAUUAGAUAAGAGAGUCACUUCUCCAUG